rnacentral:misc_RNA from 1 species
UCUCCGUAGGUGAACCUGCGGAGGGAUCAUUACAGAGUUCAUGCCCUACCGGGUAGAUCUCCCACCCUAUGUUAUUAUUACUUUGUUGCUUUGGCGGGCCGUUAGGCUCCGGCCCGACUACCGGCCCCGGCUGGUAAGCGCCCGCCAGAAGACCCAAAACCCUGAAUAUUAGUGUCGUCUGAGUACUAUAUAAUAGUUAAAACUUUCAACAACGGAUCUCUUGGUUCUG